GACGAACGCUGGCGGCGUGCUUAACACAUGCAAGUCGAACGAGUUGCGAACGGGUGGGUAAUACGUGGGUAACUGCCCGAUAUAGGGGGAUAACUACUGGAAACGGUGGCUAAUACCGCAUACUGUCAGAUAACCCAUAUGGGAUUAGCUAGUAGGUAAGGUAAUGGCUUACCUAGGCGACGAUCCCUAGCUGGUCUGAGAGGAUGAUCAGCGACACUGGGACUGAGACACGGCCCAGACUCCGACGGAGGAAGCAGUGGGGAAUAUUGCACAAUGGGCACAAGGCUGAUGCAGCCAUGCCGCGUGGAUGAAGAAGGCCCUAGGGUUGUAAAGUACUUUAAGUCGGGAGGCGUUACCGACAGAAGAAGCACCGGCUAACUCCGUGCCAGCAGCCGCGGUAAUUC
rnacentral:rRNA from 1 species